rnacentral:rRNA from 1 species
GACGAACGCUGGCGGCGUGCUUAACACAUGCAAGUCGAACGGAAAGGCCCUGCUUUUGUGGGGUGCUCGAGUGGCGAACGGGUGAGUAACACGUGAGUAACCUGCCCUUGACUUUGGGAUAACUUCAGGAAACUGGGGCUAAUACCGGAUAGGAGCUCCUGCUGCAUGGUGGGGGUUGGAAAGUUUCGGCGGUUGGGGAUGGACUCGCGGCUUAUCAGCUUGUUGGUGGGGUAGUGGCUUACCAAGGCUUUGACGGGUAGCCGGCCUGAGAGGGUGACCGGCCACAUUGGGACUGAGAUACGGCCCAGACUCCUACGGGAGGCAGCUGUGGGGAAUAUUGCACAAUGGGCGGAAGCCUGAUGCAGCAACGCCGCGUGCGGGAUGACGGCCUUCGGGUUGUAAACCGCUUUCACCUGUGACGAAGCGUGAGUGACGGUAAUGGGUAAAGAAGCACCGGCUAACUACGUGCCAGCAGCCGCGGUGAUACGUAGGGUGCGAGCGUUGUCCGGAUUUAUGGGGCGUAAAGGGCUCGUAGGUGGUUGAUCGCGUCGGAAGUGUAAUCUUGGGGCUUAACCCUGAGCGUGCUUUCGAUACGGGUUGACUUGAGGAAGGUAGGGGAGAAUGGAAUUCCUGGUGGAGCGGUGGAAUGCGCAGAUAUCAGGAGGAACACCAGUGGCGAAGGCGGUUCUCUGGGCCUUUCCUGACGCUGAGGAGCGAAAGCGUGGGGAGCGAACAGGCUUAGAUACCCUGGUAGUCCACGCUGUAAACGGUGGGUACUAGGUGUGGGGUCCAUUCCACGGGUUCCGUGCCGUAGCUAACGCUUUAAGUACCCCGCCUGGGGAGUACGGCCGCAAGGCUAAAACUCAAAGGAAUUGACGGGGCCCCGCACAAGCGGCGGAGCAUGCGGAUUAAUUCGAUGCAACGCGUAGAACCUUACCUGGGUUUGACAUGGAUCGGGAGCGCUCAGAGAUGGGUGUGCCUCUUUUGGGGUCGGUUCACAGGUGGUGCAUGGCUGUCGUCAGCUCGUGUCGUGAGAUGUUGGGUUAAGUCCCGCAACGAGCGCAACCCUUGUUCACUGUUGCCAGCACGUUAUGGUGGGGACUCAGUGGAGACCGCCGGGGUCAACUCGGAGGAAGGUGGGGAUGACGUCAAGUCAUCAUGCCCCUUAUGUCCAGGGCUUCACGCAUGCUACAAUGGCUGGUACAGAGAGUGGCGAGCCUGUGAGGGUGAGCGAAUCUCGGAAAGCCGGUCUCAGUUCGGAUUGGGGUCUGCAACUCGACCUCAUGAAGUCGGAGUCGCUAGUAAUCGCAGAUCAGCAACGCUGCGGUGAAUACGUUCCCGGGGCU